rnacentral:rRNA from 1 species
CCCUUAGAUGUUCUGGGAUGCACGCGCGUUACACUGAUUCGUUCAACGAGUUUAUGACCUUGCCUGAUGAGGUGGGGGAAUCUUUUCAAAUCGCAUCGUGAUGGGGACAGAGUAUUGUAACUGUUAGUCUUCAACGAGGAAUUCCUAGUAAGUACGUGUCAACUCGUACUGAUUAUGUCCCUGCCCUUUGUACACACCGCCCGUCGCUCCUACCGAUUGAGUGCUCAGGUGAAUAGUAUGGACUGCAUCAGUGUUCGGUCUCCGAAUGUUGACGCGAGAAAUUCUGUGAAUCUUAUUGCUUAGAGGAAGGAGAAGUCGUAACA